rnacentral:rRNA from 1 species
GUAAGGAAUAUUGGUCAAUGGGCGAAAGCCUGAACCAGCCAUGCCGCGUGCAGGAAGACAGCCUUAUGGGUUGUAAACUGCUUUUAUACAGGAAUAAACCCCUUUACGUGUAGAGGGUUGAAGGUACUGUAAGAAUAAGGACCGGCUAACUCCGUGCCAGCAGCCGCGGUAAUACGGAGGGUCCAAGCGUUAUCCGGAUUUAUUGGGUUUAAAGGGUGCGCAGGCGGACCUAUCAGUCAGUGGUGAAAUCCCGGGGCUCAACUCCGGAACUGCCAUUGAUACUGUAGGUCUUGAGUUUGGUUGAAGUGGGCGGAAUGUAGCAUGUAGCGGUGAAAUGCAUAGAUAUGCUACAGAACACCGAUCGCGAAGGCAGCUCACUAAACCAAAACUGACGCUCAGGCACGAAAGCGUGGGUAGCGAACAGGAUUAGAUACCCUAGUAGUCC